GCGCCUGUAGCUCAGUGGAUUAGAGCACUGGUCUUCGGAACCAGGUGUCGGGGGUUCGAAUCCCUCCAGGCGCGCCA
rnacentral:tRNA from 1 species